rnacentral:rRNA from 1 species
GCCAGACUCCUACGGGAGGCAGCAGUGGGGAAUAUUGCACAAUGGGGGAAACCCUGAUGCAGCGACGCCGCGUGAGUGAAGAAGUAUUUCGGUAUGUAAAGCUCUAUCAGCAGGGAAGAAAAUGACGGUACCUGAUUAAGAAGCCCCGGCUAACUACGUGUCAGCAGCCGCGGUAAUACGUAGGGGGCAAGCGUUAUCCGGAAUUACUGGGUGUAAAGGGAGCGUAGACGGUGAUGUAAGUCUGGAGUGAAAGGCGGGGGCCCAACCCCCGGACUGCUCUGGAAACUAUGUGACUGGAGUGCAGGAGAGGUGAGCGGAAUUCCUAGUGUAGCGGUGAAAUGCGUAGAUAUUAGGAGGAACACCAGUGGCGAAGGCGGCUCACUGGACUGUAACUGACGUUGAGGCUCGAAAGCGUGGGGAGCAAACAGGAUUAGAUACCCCGGUA